rnacentral:lncRNA from 1 species
GAUCCUUACCCACACCAUCAUUUCAAUCUCCCUAUCAAUACAAUCAAAGAUCGAAUUGAUCUCCAUCAAAGCGUUCAGAUUCAUCUAUAGCUCACCGAAAUCACAAUUUUUAACGAUGAAUGUUACCGUUUAAAAUCGACGUCUCCGGUUGAAGGGUCAGAAUAGAAUAACAAAUCAUUUUCAUGAUUCCCAAAAUUGACAUAAAACAGUAUGGGGCUUCACAUGUUGAUAAAUAUGUUUGAUUUACUUGAGUUGGUGGCUUGGUUGGUUCUAAUGUGCAAAGGUCAUCAAUAUUACACACAUGUGACAACUCCGUGGCAACAUUCAGUUGUUAACUAGCACAAAUUGAUGUUAUGGGCAUCUUCUUGGUCCAAUGGGGUAUCACCAUCUGUCAACCUCUUUUUUCCAGUUCUUGGAAUUUUUGUAUUACUUGACAAUUUACUUCUUUUGGAUGGGUUGGCAACAAAAACCAAGCCAUUGUUGGUAGAACUUACUCCAUUGACAGGGGUUGCUAAAACUACCAAUCAGAUUUCAGAAACAAUCAUGAUGGAGUUAUGUGCAUUUAUGCCCUGGCUCACAUAAGGUAUUUGUAUUCCCGAGUCUACUUGAUAUGUCCCCCAAGAAGGCAUUUGUGGUGCACAAUGUAUACGUCUCUACAAUGCGGUCAACAAAGAUAGGUGCUCUAAUUUCUCAUGGAUCUAUAACCUAUUACGCGUGUAUUGGGGAGAGUACUGAUACAUACCAGAGCCCUUAAAGGAUCUCGCAGCCAUCAACAAUCGCUUAAACGGGCGAGCUCACAGUGAGGUGCACUCAAUGGGUCAUGCUUCUCAUUUGUUCAUAAAUGGAGAAGACUCAGGGUUUCAUAACAAUCGAGCUGUUUACAACUACAUCAAGGGUUCUAGUACUCGGGGGAACCAAUUAAUGGCAACUCAAUCCUCAUUCAACAUUCAAACGCUCAUUUUACGGAUCUCUGUUGGAUCUUUAUCUGCUAUCUUAGAAGUGGAAGGAGCUUGUGGAGAAAGCACGAUCUAAGAAACUAUAGCCCACGAGUACAACUCGGAACAUGGAUCUUGCUGAACGGUUGUUGACAAGAAAGUCUACUUACAAUCUUGAUAUGCUUAUUCGAUAGAGGGUCUGGCAUUAGAUAUCCAAAGUUCUUUGAUGCAUUAAGAGAUUUGGAUGACCGUCUCACAAUGGUGCACCUGUUUGCUGUCUUACCUGCCAUUGAAUGAGAAAAUAUCCAAGCAGAAAGAAUCCACAACUAUAGAGGGGAUGGUCGGAUGGAAUCUCCGGUAGUAAGGCCACUCGGUGUGGGUUCGGCUUGGCCCAUCCUGGACCGUCGCCGGGCCUCAACGCCAUCCCGGGUGGUCCAUCGUCGUCCAAUUCGUCUAGGUUGGGACGCUGGAGACGGUCACAAAAGGACAAAAAAUUCAUCCGUUUGACAACAACGGCUAUUAUUUAAAAACAAAAUUCAAUUUUAAUUUAAUAUUAUCCAACGGGCAAAUUGUUUAAA